ACAAAAAAUUAAACAUCAGGAAAGAGACGUUCCAAGCAUGUGGAAGAGGAGGCACAUCAUGGUCAGCCAUGGUUAAAGAUUUAGCUGUGGCUGUUUUUGGAAGAGGCACACUGGCAACACACAGCCUAUCUGGAAAAAUUGGAAAUGCCAAUAAAGAUUCACAAGCCAAGCCUCCAUUAGACCCAGUAAAAGUCGAGCUUGUUUUAGACACUGUUCAGAAGAAAUUUCCAGAAACUCCACGGAAGUUUCUUAGGGCUUCUUUACGAGAAAAAAUGAACGAUGAACACAAACUCGUAAACAGGCAACAAAAAAGGGACUGUGUUACAAUGCAAUACUGAG